AUCGCUUCUCGGCCUGAUGGCUAAGAUCAAAGUGUAGUAUCUGUUCUUAUCAGCUUAAUAUCUGAUACACCCUCCAUAGGAGGGUAAGAAUAUUAGCCUGAUUUUUGGAAAUUGGCAGAGGUUUUGGAGCUUGCUCCACCUCUGCUCUGGGUUUACCCGGCAUUGCAGUGCCGCUGGGAGAGGCCCACAUAAA